rnacentral:rRNA from 1 species
CCUGGCUCAGGAUGAACGCUGGCGGCGUGCUUAACACAUGCAAGUCGAACGAUGAUGCCCAGCUUGCUGGGUGGAUUAGUGGCGAACGGGUGAGUAACACGUGAGUAACCUGCCCUUGACUCUGGGAUAAGCCUGGGAAACUGGGUCUAAUACCGGAUAUGACUGCUCCGCGCAUGCGGUGGUGGUGGAAAGCUUUUGCGGUUUUGGAUGGACUCGCGGCCUAUCAGCUUGUUGGUGGGGUAAUGGCCUACCAAGGCGACGACGGGUAGCCGGCCUGAGAGGGUGACCGGCCACACUGGGACUGAGACACGGCCCAGACUCCUACGGGAGGCAGCAGUGGGGAAUAUUGCACAAUGGGCGCAAGCCUGAUGCAGCGACGCCGCGUGAGGGAUGACGGCCUUCGGGUUGUAAACCUCUUUCAGUAGGGAAGAAGCGUAAGUGACGGUACCUGCAGAAGAAGCGCCGGCUAACUACGUGCCAGCAGCCGCGGUAAUACGUAGGGCGCAAGCGUUAUCCGGAAUUAUUGGGCGUAAAGAGCUCGUAGGCGGUUUGUCGCGUCUGCUGUGAAAGACCGGGGCUCAACUCCGGUUCUGCAGUGGGUACGGGCAGACUAGAGUGAUGUAGGGGAGACUGG